AGAGUUUGAUCCUGGCUCAGAACGAACGUUGGCGGCGUGGAUGAGGCAUGCAAGUCGAGCGUGAAAGCCCCUUCGGGGGUGAGUAGAGCGGCGGACGGGUGAGUAACACGUGGUCAAGCUACCCCCAAGACUGGGAUAACCAGGGGAAACCCUGGCUAAUACCGGAUGGCCCUGCAGGAUCGCAUGAUCCUGUGAGUAAAUGGUUGGGAUCCUUCGGGACCUUCUGCUUGGGGAUGUGAUCGCGGCCUAUCAGCUUGUUGGUGGGGUAACGGCCUACCAAGGCGAUGACGGGUAGCAGGCCUGAGAGGGUGGUCUGUCACACUGGGACUAAGACACGGCCCAGACUCCUACGGGAGGCAGCAGUGGGGAAUAUUGCACAAUGGGCGAAAGCCUGAUCCAGCAAUGCCACGUGUGUGAAGAAGGCCUGCGGGUUGUAAAGCACUUUCAGUAGGGAAGAAAUGCCCAAGGUUAAUACCCUUGAGUCUUGACGUUACCUACAGAAGAAGCACCGCUAACU
rnacentral:rRNA from 1 species